rnacentral:rRNA from 1 species
UACGAAGGGGAGCUAGCGUUGCUCGGAAUCACUGGGCGUAAAGCGCACGUAGGCGGAUCGAUCAGUCAGGGGCGAAAUCCCAAGAGCUCAACUCUGGAACUGCCUUUGAUACUAGUCGAUCUAGAGUAUGGAAGAGGUGAGUGGAAUUCCGAGUGUAGAGGUGAAAUUCGUAGAUAUUCGGAGGGAACACCAGUGGCGAAGGCGGCUCACUGGUCCAUUACUGACGCUGAGGUGCGAAAGCGUGGGGAGCAAACAGG